AAAUAAAAAAUAAAAAAUAAAAAUCCUAAGAACAACUACAAUCUCUUUCUCUUUCAUUUAUACAGUUCUAAAGAGUAAUGAGGUCCAACUUUACUACACUGAGCUAGCCUCAAUUAUGGCCAUCACAUUAACUAAAUGUAUGGUGGAAGUUUGUUUUAAAGUGUGAUAUGAAGCAAGAGAGGAAGAUAAAUACAUGGUUGACUCACAACCCACCGGCUCAAGCUUUCAGUUUAAACUGCAAUGCCUAAGUUGGGC
rnacentral:misc_RNA from 1 species